AGCCCGCCGUCGGACGCCUUUCGCCGUUGUCAGCCCUGCGUGGUUGUUCUCGGGCUGAAGAAGGGAGGAAAACAGGGAGGAGAGUAUUACCCUAUCCAAAGAGUUCAGGAAUUUUAGUCAGCAGGACGUUGGGUUACAUGGUACAUAUGGGUCAUCUGUGUGAAAUUUUGCUGAAGUUGAUGCUCCGGGUCUGUUAAUAUGGUUGGUAUGUUUGUUUCUCGAGAAAUAUGUCAGAGGAAAGGCAAAAUUGUGAAACCUUGUGGUAUCCUUUCUUUUCUCCGUCAUUUUAGCUUUUUUCCAUAGACUCCCCAGCUGCCCUUGUCCAGAGCUCUUUUUCUCAGAGCUUGCUCAAAAAUUCUUUAAAAAGGCCAAUGAUCUGGCUAUGGUUUGGGUUCAGUUCACUUGUACACAAUAAUCUCUUCAUUAAGCGGAGAGAAAAUAUUUCUUGCUGAGUUGGUGAAAUCGGUAUAAAAUUUUAGUAUAUAAAUUUCAUCUA